rnacentral:rRNA from 1 species
UACGAAGGGGGCUAGGCGUUGCUCGGAAUCACUGGGCGUAAAGGGCGCGUAGGCGGCCAUUCAAGUCAGAGGUGAAAGCCCAAGGCUCAACCUUGGAACUGCCUUUGAUACUGUUUGGCUUGAGACCGGUAGAGGUAAGUGGAACUGCGAGUGUAGAGGUGAAAUUCGUAGAUAUUCGCAAGAACACCAGUGGCGAAGGCGGCUUACUGGACCGGUUCUGACGCUGAGGCGCGAAAGCGUGGGGAGCAAACAGGG